UGAACAGUCUGGAGACAGGCUGGGCCUUCGGGACGAGGGGAGACAGGUGGUGCAUGGUUGUCGUCAGCUCGUGUCGUGAGAUGGUUGGGUUAAGUCCCGCAACGAGCGCAACCCUUAGUUUUAGUUGCCAGCAUUUCGGAUGGGCACUCUAAAGCGACUGCCGGUGACAAACCGGAGGAAGGUGGGGAUGACGUCAAAUCAUCAUGCCCCUUAUGACCUGGGCUACACACGUACUACAAUGGCCGGUACAACGGGCUGCGAAACCGCGAGGUGGAGCUAAUCCUAGAAAAGCCGGUCUCAGUUCGGAUUGCAGGCUGCAACUCGCCUGCAUGAAGUCGGAAUUGCUAGUAAUCGCGGAUCAGCAUGCCGCGGUGAAUACGUUCCCGGGUCUUGUACACACCGCCCGUCACACCACGAGAGUUUGCAACACCCGAAGUCGGUGAGGGAACCCUCGGGACCCAGCCGCCGAAGGUGGGGCAGAUGAUUGGGGUGAAGUCGUAACAAGGUAAGCGUAGUGCU
rnacentral:rRNA from 1 species